rnacentral:rRNA from 1 species
CACGUAGGGCGCGAGCGUUGUCCGGAAUUAUUGGGCGUAAAGAGCUCGUAGGCGGCCUGUUGCGUCCGCUGUGAAAGCCCGGGGCUUAACCCCGGGUCGGCAGUGGAUACGGGCAGGCUAGAGGUAGGUAGGGGAGAAUGGAAUUCCCGGUGUAGCGGUGAAAUGCGCAGAUAUCAGGAGGAACACCGGUGGCGAAGGCGGUGGUCUGGGCCGGCACUGACGCUGAGGAGCGAAAGCGUGGGUAGCAAACAGG